GAUGAACGCUGGCGGCGUGCUUAACACAUGCAAGUCGAACGAUGAAGCAGAGCUUGCUCUGUGGAUUAGUGGCGAACGGGUGAGUAACACGUGAGUAACCUGCCCUUGACUCUGGGAUAAGCACUGGAAACGGUGUCUAAUACCGGAUACGAACUUCAGCCGCAUGGCUAGGAGUUGGAAAGAAUUUCGGUCAAGGAUGGACUCGCGGCCUAUCAGCUAGUUGGUGAGGUAACGGCCCACCAAGGCGACGACGGGUAGCCGGCCUGAGAGGGUGACCGGCCACACUGGGACUGAGACACGGCCCAGACUCCUACGGGAGGCAGCAGUGGGGAAUAUUGCACAAUGGGCGCAAGCCUGAUGCAGCAACGCCGCGUGAGGGACGACGGCCUUCGGGUUGUAAACCUCUUUUAGUAGGGAAGAAGCGAAAGUGACGGUACCUGCAGAAAAAGCACCGGCUAACUACGUGCCAGCAGCCGCGGUAACAC
rnacentral:rRNA from 1 species